rnacentral:rRNA from 1 species
UACGUAGGGGGCGAGCGUUGUCCGGAGUUACUGGGCGUAAAGGGCACGCAGGCGGUGCGGCGCGUUUCGCGUGACAGCGGAGGGCUUAACUCUCCGAGGAUGCGAAAGACGGCGGCACUUGAGGGCCAGAGAGGGACACGGAAUUCCGGGUGGAGUUGUGAAAUGCGUAGAGAUCCGGAGGAACACCGAAGGCGAAGGCAGUGUCCUGGCUGGUGACUGACGCUGAGGUGCGAAAGCCAGGGGAGCGAACGGG